rnacentral:tRNA from 1 species
GGCUCCACAGUGUAGUGGUUAGCACAUCUGCUUUACAUGCAGAAGGUCUUGGGUUUGUGCCCCAGAUAGAGCCA